GCUGCAUAUGGAAGCCUACAUUAAGGAAAGGAUUGCAGUCGAGGUGGAUAUUUGGACGAAAAGAUUAAAUAGUAGCGGCGUGGAACGAGCUUUGAUGAACAGGGACUUGGCUAGCAUGGAAAAACAAAUAGAGCUCGUGAACACGGCCAGGGAGGAAGAUUUUAACAGUUUCAAGCAGUUUUUCACGUCUUUGGGGGAUCAGGUUCUCAACAGUAGCUUCAUCAGGGAAUCGCUAUCCAGUCUCCAAGCCUACGACACAAAGCCACCACCAUCGUCAAAGAUUAUUCUGUCAGAGAGCGACAGCAUGCUGUUUUACGACGUGAACAUGCGCACUGGUUCUGUAUCCCAGAGUUCUCUGAUGUAUGGUGAAACUCUUGACCUGGCUUGUGACGUAAAGAACAGCCGCGUCAUAUACACGAUGCGAGUCUGGUCCUCGAGUUCCAUUCAUCUGCAUCUGAUGUCGGCUUUUCUUAAUGGAACAGAUGUCAAGCUUCUAAGUACAAAUGGGGCGAAUGAGUUUGCGAUCGACAGCGACAGGGACCUUUUGUUCUUCACGAGCGGCCACAUGGGUGACGUUAGGGUGGUGACCACAACAGGGGACAACGACACCAUUCUCUUCACCAAUAAAACCCGGAUUCCUUGUUCUAUAGCACUCAACAAGCCAGACAGGUUGGUUUACUUCACCAUUUGGUUUAACGUGAGCUACAUAAUGCAGAUGAAUUACGACGGAACCGAUCUACGUAUUCUGAAAGAGUUUGGAACAUUCAAUAUCAUCCGUGUCAUGGUAUAUGACGAAGACGGCAGAACACUGUACGCCGUGGACAGGAUGGGUACUGUGCAUGCUGUAAACUUUGAUACUAAGACAACGGAAGUGUUCCUGGCUAAACCGAAUCAGGAUGGUGCCAGGCACAGGAUGCUCCACUACGAAGACGGCAAACUCUACGUAUUAACGAGUCAUCGCAGCGUCAUAGAAGUUUUCAAUCGAACUGGAUCCAUGGUUGAGACAUACGACUUAUCACCUUGGAAAAAACCAUGGAAUGGAAUGUGUAUUUUACCGGAAUAAACUGAAAACAAAAUUCCACCUCUAGGGAAGGUGUAAACCUAUCCUCCCAGGGGCCUAGCUUAGGAUUUUCAGGUGGGACAGACAGGAACAAAAACGAGUUCUUGCAAUGAUCAUUAGGUCAUUGCAAGAGUUUCAUGAUACACUUUAAAUAAAAAAAUAAAAUAAAACUGUGUUAUGAUGUUUGGCCAAUAAUAACCUGGGUAUAGCAAUUCGACCGUCGGCUGAUUAGGAAAGUAGAGUCUGUUAACUGUUUCAUUCUCUCCAGUAUACUGGUUUUGGACAGAAAUUAUUUUGUAGCUGUGUCGAGUGCGACAAAAGCAUUCCUGUGAUAUGCGAAAAAUGGUGUUCAGUCUCCAAAUAACGUACG